rnacentral:lncRNA from 1 species
UCUGUCAUCUCUCACACAACAGAAUGAUGAGUGAAAACAUUGCUUCUGUGAAUAUGCUCAUGAAUUCGUCGUUGUCUUCAUCCGACAACGGCGAACUCAUUCUUGUAGCAUUCGCAGAGCGCGAGGAGGAACAGUAGGGGAACCGUCGACGCCAUGGUGGUUCCAAGCAUGGACCUCAGAUGAUCAAUCGACGAAGAGAUGCGGGAUUUGUUCUACUCUGGAAUGACUACUUUAGUGAAAAUCCUCGCUAUCCCGAAAACUUAUUUCCCUUUUGUGGAGGCUCCUGUUGUCCAUUUUUUUAGUUGGCAUCCUCACUUGUUCCCCGAUUGGGCCGCAACUUGGUGUUCCAACCCAAUUUAUGUCACUCGAUCCCACAUUCA